AUUGUUGUACUACAAUGCGCUGCCAUAGAAAUAAAAUGGAUAGAAAGGCCAUUUCCAUUCAAAUCAACGUAGCAAAAUGUUCAGAGUAGCACCCAUUUUUAUGUGUAUCAUUGCCAUGGUAAUGAAUAAAAUUCCGACGAUAAGCCGACUUCCGGGACGUAGCAGA